GACGAACGCUGGCGGCGUGCCUAAUACAUGCAAGUAGAACGCUGAAGCUUGGUGCUUGCACCGAGCGGAUGAGUUGCGAACGGGUGAGUAACGCGUAGGUAACCUGCCUGGUAGCGGGGGAUAACUAUUGGAAACGAUAGCUAAUACCGCAUAAGAGUAGAUGUUGCAUGACAUUUGCUUAAAAGGUGCAAUUGCAUCACUACCAGAUGGACCUGCGUUGUAUUAGCUAGUUGGUGAGGUAACGGCUCACCAAGGCAACGAUACAUAGCCGACCUGAGAGGGGGAUCGGCCACACUGGGACGGGGACACGGCCCAGACUCCUACGGGAGGCAGCAGUAGGGAAUCUUCGGCAAUGGACGGAAGUCUGACCGAGCAACGCCGCGUGAGUGAAGAAGGUUUUCGGAUCGUAAAGCUCUGUUGUAAGAGAAGAACGAGUGUGAGAGUGGAAAGUUCACACUGUGACGGUAUCUUACCAGAAAGGGACGGCUAACUACGUG
rnacentral:rRNA from 1 species